rnacentral:rRNA from 1 species
UGAGGAAUCUUGGACAAUGGGGGCAACCCUGAUCCAGCGACGCCGCGUGAAGGAUGAAGGUCUUCGGAUUGUAAACUUCUUUUGUUCGGGAAUAAAAAAUCUAUGGAAACAUGGAGAUUGAAGGUACCGAACGAAUAAGCCACGGCUAACUUCGUGCCAGCAGCCGCGGUAAUACGAAGGUGGCAAGCGUUACUCGGAAUUACUAGGCGUAAAGGGCAGGUAGGUGGUUUGAUAAGUCUGUUGUGUAAGCUCCCGGCUUAACUGGGAGAGGUCAACGGAAACUGUCAGACUUGAGUAUAGGAGAGGUUACUGGAAUUCCCGGUGUAGCGGUGAAAUGCGCAGAGAUCGGGAGGAACACCAAUGGCGAAAGCAGGUAACUGGACUAUUACUGACACUCAGCUGCGAAAGCUAGGGGAGCAAACAGGAUUAGAUACCCGUGUAGUCC